UACGGGGGGAGCAAGCGUUGUUCGGAUUUACUGGGCGUAAAGGGCGCGUAGGCGGUCAGCACAAGUCAGUUGUGAAAUCUCCGGGCUUAACCCGGAACGGUCAGCUGAUACUGCUGUGCUAGAGUGCAGAAGGGGCAAUCGGAAUUCUUGGUGUAGCGGUGAAAUGCGUAGAUAUCAGGAGGAACACCAAUUAGCGAAGGCAGCUCGCUGGGACGUAACUGACGCUGAGAACGCGAAAGCGUGGGGAGCAAACAGG
rnacentral:rRNA from 1 species